UACGAAGGGGGCUAGCGUUGCUCGGAAUCACUGGGCGUAAAGCGCACGUAGGCGGCUUUUUAAGUCAGGGGUGAAAUCCUGGAGCUCAACUCCAGAACUGCCUUUGAUACUGAAGAGCUUGAGUCGGGAGAGGUGAGUGGAACUGCGAGUGUAGAGGUGAAAUUCGUAGAUAUUCGCAAGAACACCAGUGGCGAAGGCGGCUCACUGGCCCGAUACUGACGCUGAGGCACGAAAGCGUGGGAGCAAACAGG
rnacentral:rRNA from 1 species